rnacentral:rRNA from 1 species
UAGUCCACGCCCUAAACGAUGGAUACUAGUCGUCGGGAUUCCUAAUAGUCUCGGUGACGUAGCUAACGCAUUAAGUAUCCCGCCUGGGGAUUACGGUCGCAAGAUUAAAACUCAAAGGAAUUGACGGGGGCCCGCACAAGCGGUGGAGCAUGUGGUUUAAUUCGAUGCUACGCGAAAAACCUUACCUGGACUUGACAUCCCGGGCUACCCUGUGAAAGCAGGGGUUCUCUUCGGAGACCCGGUGACAGGUGCUGCAUGGCUGUCGUCAGCUCGUGUUGUGAGAUGUUGGGUUAAGUCCCGCAACGAGCGCAACCCUCGCCGUUAGUUACCAUCAUUAAGUUGGGCACUCUAACGGGACCGCUAGGCUAUAAGCCAGAGGAAGUGGGGAUGACGUCAAGUCCUCAUGGCCUUUAUGUCCAGGGCUACACACGUGCUACAAUGGGAGGUACAAAUCGUUGCUACUUCGCAAGAAGGUGCUAAUCGCAAAAAACCUCCCUCAUUCGGAUUGGAGUCUGCAACUCGACUCCA